GUGCUGGCCACUGAGAUAUGCAUCAUACUAUCCAUUGAACAUGAGUGGGGGUAUCCGGGCUCCCUACGGCGCCCCUGAAGGCCCAAACAAGACGUGUGAUACCACUGAAAAAGAAGAGUGGAUAAAAUAUUCACAGAAGCAUACGGAAUUACCAAAAAGACAAAGGAGUUCCAGGCUGGUUUAUUAAGCUUCUGUCAACACAUUGGAUCAUCCAACCAUUUUUGGAACUGGUACACACAGCCAAACCAAAUCCUCAGUUUACCAUUCUGUGCUUGCACUCCAGUCAGAGGGACAUGAAGCGGGGCGGCCACCUGGUCCAUUAAUCAGCCUCGGCCGGUGCUGACAGCAGAGCUCACAGAGUGUUGCCCUUCCGCCCCGCUUGCAUUAGCGAGACCUGUAAAUCCUUCUUGGAGAGGAGAGGAGAGGAGAGGAGAGGAGAGGAGAGGAGAGGACUUUUUUUCAUUUUAAUGGCUCUAUCAAAAGAAAUGGCUUGAUUGGCAACAAGUUAAUGGAGCUAACAUGGGAAGGAAUAUGGGACUGGAAGCUAAAAUAUGUUUAAUAAGGGUAACUCACCCAAUUUCACACACUCAAGUGUGUUUAUAGGUCUUGAGGAGGAUUAAUACUACAUGUGUGAAAAAGUAGUGUUUGUUUGUGGCUGCAGAGGAAGCUGCAUGGAAUCAGGUGAAUUUCCUCCAGUGAUAUCAGUCAGUGGCUCUGUUGGAUUGUGGGUAAUGUAGGCGCCAUGUUUUCAAAAAGAAGAAUAUGUUUAAUAAGAAAAUUUAAGAAAACACCUCUGGUUCUGCUUUGUUGAUUCAGAUGCGUUUUAAAAGUUUCCACAAAGAGUCCGACAGUGUUAAGGGAGUGCAGUGCCAGACCAGUAGACUGCUUCUCAAAAACCUGUUGCCUACAUUACCCACAAUGCAACUGUUGGACAUUUCUAUUACUUGUGGCUUUCUCCCGAGCCACAAUAGGCUUUAUACAAAUUGAAAUAGGUGGCGUUACCCCUUAAGAAAUACGACAACAUGCAGUUGUUCUGUGACUUAAAAUGUAAAUUUGGGGAAUUUUGGUUGAAGAAAAACAAAUUUCCGAACUUCUAAAUUUCUGACCUUGAUUAACGCAGACCACUUUCAUGUUUCAUCUCUUUUUGAGCCUUUUUAUGUUCUUCUAGAUCCACAAAACUUGCUUUUUCAUCCUUGUGUUCUUCUAAUAUAUCGUAGCCUGCAUUCAUUACUUUCAUAGCAGUAGCCUUUUAGCUUGACCUUGUAUGCAGGACACAGUGGGAGUGCACUGAAAGAGCUGUAUUGUGUGCUGAAUUCUGGUUAACAUAAAUUUACUUGAUUAAAUCAAGCUUUCA